UAAGUGGGGCCCCCCUGAGUGUUAUGGUAUCCGUGAUAAAUGCUACAAUGGUGGAGUCUGUGAUGACAAGUCUGGUCUAUGUAUCUGUCCUAACAACUUCAAGGGACCGAAUUGUUUAGAAAUUUGUAGAAAUGAUGGUGGAAAUCGAUUCGGAUUGAACUGCGAGUUUGGAUGUACUAGAACCAAUGAUCUUGCCACAAAAUGUCAUGGGUUUCUUUUUUGCCUACCUGAUCCUUAUGGAUGUUCAUGUGACGUCGGUGCCCAUGGUCUAUCAUGUAACACACUUUGUACUCCUACUAGUAAUACAUAUGGCCCGGGAUGUUCACAGACAUGCCACUGUGUAGAUGGAUCAUCAUGUAACAUCUACAGUGGAAUAUGUACUGGUGGAUGUCAGAC